rnacentral:rRNA from 1 species
GACGAACGCUGGCGGCGUGCUUAACACAUGCAAGUCGAGCGGAGCGGCGAACGGGUGAGUAACGCGUGAGUAACUGCCCCCCUCUCUGGGAUAACAGUUGGAAACGGCUGCUAAUACCGGAUAGUGGGGGAUGACUCGCGUCCUAUCAGCUUGUUGGUGGGGUAGUGGCCUACCAAGGGGACGACGGGUAGCCGGCCUGAGAGGGCGACCGGCCUCAUUUGGCCGAGAUACGGCCCAAAGUCUAACGGUGGGAAGGAGUGGCGACUAGUGCCCAAUGGGGGAAACCCUGAAGCAGCAAGGCCGCGUGCGGGAUGACGGCCUUCGCGUUGUCAACCGCUUUCAGCCAUGUCGCGGUAUUGGCAGAAGAAGCACCGGCUAACUACGUGCCCGCAGCCGCGGUAAUAC